UCGAUCCCCCAUGUGAGUAUUGUUGGUUGGUGAUACACCCGCUCUGGCGCCACUGCGGCGUCACAUGAAAGAUUAUCGGACCCCGUGACUUGUUGCUGGAGAGGGAACUCGGGAGGGUUGGCUGGGGGACGUUUUCGUCGAUAUUGGGAUCGGUCCAAUAUUCCUCAGUCAGCACAAAAGGCAAAUGAAAUGUGGAAUAAUGGGAAACUGGCGCUGUUCUGGCAGUGCAAAGUGCCCUUGUUUGCGCAGUCAUUGGGUUAAUUGCCUUGCUCCGUCGUGUUGAAUGGGAAUGUGUUGCAUAUAAGUUGGGAGCUGGCUCUAUACGGUGCUAGUCGAAUAUCCUUCAGUGAUCAUAGUGCGCAUGGCUUCCGCCCGAAACUAAUGUUGUCUGCGUCGUGCACCGCCGGGUGUAUCAUGUGGCCAACCGCUUGAGAAGUGCGUGUAUGUGAGGGAGAUAUUUGUGCUAGAUUCAGACCCGUAUAUCCUUCAUUGGCUGUGGAGAGUGGCGUCCCCGAUGAAAGUUCACGAUCACGCUCGAAAUGAUCAAAUCAAAAUCAAUAAAGAUUUAACGAUUAAAUCAAAGCCGACAAGCCGGAAGAACUCUCGACGUUAAAUUUUUGUUUAUUUAAAAAACUCGCUCGUUAUUUGAUUUUAACCAAAUUGUUUAGAAUCAGAAGCUUGGUGUAUCUGGCUGCUUGGCUGGUGAAUUCCAAUUAUGGUCCAGGCACCUGGCGUCGUGAAAGUGACAACUGGACCGCUGACGUCAUCCCAUCAGUUUUAUAGCGGCACAUUUAAAUUUUAACACGUAUAGCAAAAUGAUGUCGACAACUGAGAGGAGAAUUCUUUACUUAUUGUGAAUACAGGUGGUUGCGUCCGUCACUUAUUUGCCAAAAGUGUCGUCCGACCUGAAGUCGGUGAUUGACAAAAUCGCAACUUUGGCUUGUUGCAAAACUUUGGCUGGGCUAUAAUUCCCUGUCCCAAAAUAAUUGCAUCUUGGCCCGCGUAUCUGUCUGGACUCGGGGUCUGCAUAAGCCGGUGGCAAGCAGCAAUCAACUCACCAUGAAAGGCCAAAGCAUUCGAAGAGAAUUUAUUAUAUAUUUUUUUAUUGGUGAAGCCAGCGAAGAAGCUCCAAGGAAGUGACCUUCACUGCCCGUUUUGGUGAUUUUUAACAAAAUAAUUAACUGAAUAAACGUGAUAAUUUUUUCUUU